CAAAAAGACAAAAAAAAAAAGAAAGAAAGAGAUUUAUCCAUGAGUUAAUCUCGAGGAGGGUGUGACCUUGUUGGGAUGUGAGAAACUGUGGGAAGUAAAAAUAUUGAUGAGCCAGAUGGGAAACCUGAGGGGGUUUGGAUAAAAUCUCUAAUGCUAAGGAUUGGUUAUUAUUCACUUUGGUAUGCAUGAUGACGAGGAAGUGGCAGCUUUUAAAAAUUGAGAUGUAAUUCAGACAUCAUAAAAGUCACCCUUUUAAAGGGUCACAGACAGUGAUUUUUAGGAUAUUCCCCCAAGUGGGCGGUCUUCACCACCCUCUAAUUCCAGAGAACUUUCAUCCCUCCAAAAAGAAACUUUGUACUAAUUAGCAGAUUCCCCCCCGCCCCUUGGCAACCACUCAUCUACUUUCCGUCUCUGUGGAUUCGCCUCGUCUGGACAUUUCCUCUAAACGCAAUCAGACAAUAUGUGCUUUUUUGGUAUCUGGCUUGUUUCACUGAGCAUCCUGUUUGUAGGGCCCAACUGGUCCUGUAGGAGCUCAUGACGUGGGCAGGAUACAUUUUCUUUAACCCCUUCAAUAGCUGAUGGACAUUUAGAUGCCUUCUGUCUUCUGGCUCUCAGAGGGGAUGCUGCUAUCAACAGUCCUGGACCAAGGGCUUGGUGGUUUUUAAUCCCUCUGCAAGUGGAAUAUUGGCCCAAAGAGGACAAGCAUGUAACGUGUCUCACCAAGUGCUGUUCCCAUGUCUAGACCAGCAUAUCAAGCACAGAGCAGCUACCCUUGACCCACAGGAUGAAGAGCCAAACGUCUGCGUGCCUUGGAGCCCAGCGAGGUCCAGCCUGGCUGACCCCUCUCACUGCCCCCGGCCAGACUCUGGGCUCCGGAGUUCAGCUGUGUUAGUCCAAUCCAAGCCUCUGCCUUCUGGUCCACGGCGCCCGGGGGCCUGUCCGGGGAGGAGAGUGAUGCACGGUCCUCCGUUCUGGCUGCCAUUUGUCACAGGUACGUGCAGGUAGGAAACAGCCGAUGGCGCUGGAUGUGCAGCUCCUGUUCCCCAUUUAGGCGGGUGUCCCUUGGCAGGAGGAACGGCUCUGGCAUGAGGCUCAGGUCCUAUGUGCUACCAGGCCUGCAGGGGCUCCUUGAGUUCCCCUGCUGAUGACCACAGCCAGAGUCACCAGGGCCACUGCUUCCUGAGCCCCAAUUCUGAGAAGCCUUUCACACCUGUUUUCUCUAGUCCUUGCAUUAUCCCUGCCAGGUGAGGCGAGGUGUGGUCCCAUUUUACAGGU